rnacentral:lncRNA from 1 species
AGAAAACAACAUUAGAACACCACAGUAACAUCAACCGGGGUCCCCAAUUAACAUGGAACUGCAAUAUCGGUUAGUACUGCCUACUCCCAGAUUUCUUUCAUGUGGUAGAGGAGUAAAGCUCUAUCUAACUUCAGCUAUAGAUUUUUUGGGUUUCCUGUCACCAGAAAAACUUAACCUAAUCCUAAGACAAGGCUCUUUCUAAAAGUUUCGUUUGAGGGAACUAGUUUUUCUAUCAAUGCCUCAGCAACGAUUUACUCAAUGUCUACAAUGAGCAUUUGACAUUGGUUAAUCCAUUUAAUCCUUAAAGCAACAUUAUGUAUGAUUGUCUUCAUUUUGCAGAUAAUGUUUCUCAGAAAAAUAAUUUGCCAAGUGAGUUUGUGUGGCAGAACCUAAAGGCAAGUCCAUGUCUCACGUGGAGCCAAGACCAUGCUUUUUCCCAUGUCUCACAGCCACUCUAGAGAACUUUUAGGAGACAUUCAGUUGGCAGUACGUGCAUGACACUUUACCACCGAAGAUUGUGUCUAUUCUUCCAUUGCCUUGAAUUUGACCAGUAGUCACAAGGAGAGGCACUGGAGCACCAGAUAUAUGAAUGAAGAAACUACCUUGGCAUCCAGCCUAGUUGAGCCUUUGGAUAAGUCCAGCCUCAGCCCUAUCAUACUGCAACUGCAUGAACGACCCCAAAGAAGAGCCAUCCAGGUGAGCCCAGCCAACACACAGAAUAUACAGAUAAUAAUAAAUUGUUGAACUAGGAUAUUAAAUGUGUGGGCUACGCAAUAAUAGAUAAUAGGAACACUGCAAGUGACAAUGUACUGACAUGCGGAGAGUACUGGGGACCACUAAUCAACAGGUUUUUUGAGGCAUUUGACAAAGCAAGGAAAGAGAAACAGAAAACUCAAAACAGUACUCCCAUUCUCCUCUUUAGCAUCAACCAAAACUUUCCAAGAACAGAGGACAGAACCAAAUGUUUCUCCCAAAGUGGCUGCCUUGGGAGCUGCUUGCUUUACCUUCAAUAAAAAUGCAAUUGUAAGAGAGGAAAUUUCAGUGAAACCCCAUCUCUACUAAAAAAUACAAAAAAUUAGCUGGGCGUGGUGGCGGGUGCCUGUAGUCCCAGCUA